AUUGAACGCUGGCGGCAUGCCUUACACAUGCAAGUCGAACGGCAGCACGGACUUCGGUCUGGUGGCGAGUGGCGAACGGGUGAGUAAUGUAUCGGAACGUACCUUUCAGUGGGGGAUAACGUAGCGAAAGUUACGCUAAUACCGCAUAUUCUGUGAGCAGGAAAGCAGGGGAUCGCAAGACCUUGCGCUGAUUGAGCGGCCGAUAUCAGAUUAGCUAGUUGGUGAGGUAAAGGCUCACCAAGGCGACGAUCUGUAGCGGGUCUGAGAGGAUGAUCCGCCACACUGGAACUGAGACACGGUCCAGACUCCUACGGGAGGCAGCAGUGGGGAAUUUUGGACAAUGGGGCAACCCUGAUCCAGCCAUGCCGCGUGAGUGAAGAAGGCCUCGG
rnacentral:rRNA from 1 species